GCCGUUCUGGACCAGUUGGACAAGUUACUGCAGCUCUCAAGGACCACUGGUCCAGUUUUGGUUUGGAGGAUCCAGCAAGGCCAGAGCUUCCCCGUUCCCCCUUCUCGUACCAUCUUCUCGGCGAGCGGCCGGCGGAGCGAUUUCAGCAGGGAGCGCGCGGAUUCGGCAAGCCAUGGAUUUCCCGCUAGAUCCGAUUAGCAGCCGUGUUGAAUCUGCAAGGAGAGGACUCGGUAAGCAGCAACGCUGGUCCGGUGGCGGCGGUCGAGCUUGGGAACCUGGUGGGCAGUACCGGUGUGGAUGAUGUCGGUAGCUGCAUGGCUUGCCUGGUACCGUUGGCCGGCGAUUCCGGAGAAUCAACUCAGGACGAUCCACAAGACCCCGGAUGGAAGAAGAGAGUCCAUGUCGGUCGUGCACCUCCAGAUAGAACUCGUUGCGCGGAAUGGAAAAGCGCAUUAGAGAAAUCAGUCCGGUGUUACGCAGAAACUCGGCGACGAGGUCAUUGACUCGAUAAGUGAGGCAUAUGAUUUCUAUAAUUUGUAUUCCUGGGAGCGUGGUUUUGGGGUCAGAUAUGAAAGAGCUAGCUAAAUUCAGCGAAGACGAAAUGCAUGCAGGAAAUCGUAUGCGGGUGCUCGGGGAAGCCGACAGGUGAAAAUACAAGGUCAUGUUGCUGUGAAUGUUGAGGUCUGCAGACAACGGUUGGUACAUUACGGAGCAUCAGGCGAGUCACACUCAUGUGCUGACGGAGACAUGUGGUGAGACUGCAUUCUAGCCUUAUCAACGACGGCGUAAACCUUAGGGUUCGCGUCCUGUGCCUCAAUCCCUUUAAGUGCCUCCCGAUUCAAUCUAUCCUUCCGCGAAACGAUACCACCGAAACGUACCUCACACGGAGACCUGCUCGCCCAAGAUUCGUACUCCUUCCUGAUCUCCAAUACCUGAUUACCGCUAAGACUCAUGUUGCUCCCGGAUUGGUAUGGCGGCGGCGUGCGGUCGCCCACGAGUCGGCCAUGUCGACCUGAAAUGCUUGAGCUCCUGCAGCUGACUUCAUCAGCUUUGACCUGGUGCUCAUCUGAAUGUUUAACUUGAGUAGAACAUGAGCAAACAAGGGGCUAAAGCCACUCCAAGGUGUUCACAUGCGUGGAUUCCCUGAGUAGAACUGUAUUACCUGAGGGGCUGAGCAUCCCCGGGUAUUUAUCAUACCUGGUUUCCCUGUAAUAGAACAGUAGCAAUAUUUGAGGGCUUGGCCACUGCAGAUGUUUAAGGGCACGGUUCACUUAAGUAGAAUUGUACGAAAAAAGGGUCCUAGCAUCUGUCAAGUGUUUUGCUGAAUGGUUUCCUGUAAUAGAACAUUAGUAAAAUUGAUGAUUGGGC